GAUGAACGCUGGCGGCGUGCCUAAUACAUGCAAGUCGAGCGAACAGACGAGGAGCUUGCUCCUCUGACGUUAGCGGCGGACGGGUGAGUAACACGUGGAUAACCUUCCUAUAAGACUGGGAUAACUUCGGGAAACCGGAGCUAAUACCGUAUAAUAUAUUGAUCCGCAUGGUUCAAUAGUGAAAUACGGUUUUGCUGUCACUUAUAGAUGGAUCCGCGCCGCAUUAGCUAGUUGGUAAGGUAACGGCUUAUCAAGGCAACGAUGCGUAGCCGACCUGAGAGAGUGAUCGGCCACACUGGAACUGAGACACGGUCCAGACUCCUACGGGAGGCAGCAGUAGGGAAUCUUCCGCAAUGGGCGAAAGCAUGACGGAGCAACGCCGCGUGAGUGAUGAAGGUCUUCGGAUCGUAAAACUCUGUUAUUAGGGAAGAACAAAUGUGUAAGUAACUAUGCACGUCUUGACGGUAACUAAUCAGAAAGCAACGGCUAACUACGUG
rnacentral:rRNA from 1 species